GCUGCCUCAGAAGGGGAUGAUCCUGGGACGCCUUUGGAGAAUGUGACUGGUGAUAACUAAUCUGAUGAGGGACCAUCCACCUUCAGCUUGGAACACUGGCUGUAAAGGAUUUAUACAAGGUCCACCUGCAAAAACAAAUUAAAAAGUGCGAUCUUCAGAUGGAGCACAUCAAACUUCAAAUAAAACAGACAAGACUUGAGUUGCUGAAAUAUAAGUGAAAGUUGGGGGUAGUUGCUGUGAGUGUAUAUGUAUAUUCUUACUAAAGAAUAAGGACAAGGAAAUUAACUUGUUGGCAUUUUUGUUUAUU